rnacentral:rRNA from 1 species
GGGUGAGUAACACGUAUGGAACCUGCCCGUAGCAGGGGGAUAAGCGGAAGAAAUUCCGUCUAAUACCGCGUAAUAACUCCGAGAGGCAUCUCCUGGGGCUUAAAGGGUAACACCGGCUACGGAUGGCCAUGCGGCGCAUUAGCUAGUUGGCGGGGUAACGGCCCACCAAGGCGACGAUGCGUAGGGGUUCUGAGAGGAAGGUCCCCCACACUGGUACUGAGACACGGACCAGACUCCUACGGGAGGCAGCAGUGAGGAAUAUUGGUCAAUGGGCGCGAGCCUGAACCAGCCAAGUCGCGUGAGGGAAGACGGUCCUAUGGAUUGUAAACCUCUUUUGUCGGGGAGCAAAAGACGCCACGCGUGGCGUUCCGAGAGUACCCGAAGAAAAAGCAUCGGCUAACUCCGUGCCAGCAGCCGCGGUAAUACGGAGGAUGCGAGCGUUAUCCGGAUUUAUUGGGUUUAAAGGGUGCGCAGGCGGAAGAUCAAGUCAGCGGUAAAAUUGAGAGGCUCAACCUCUUCGAGCCGUUGAAACUGGUUUUCUUGAGUGAGCGAGAAGUAUGCGGAAUGCGUGGUGUAGCGGUGAAAUGCAUAGAUAUCACGCAGAACUCCGAUUGCGAAGGCAGCAUACCGGCGCUCAACUGACGCUCAUGCACGAAAGUGUGGGUAUCGAACAGGAUUAGAUACCCUGGUAGUCCACACAGUAA